rfam:Ciona savignyi cont_37061, whole genome shotgun sequence.
AUCUCGGGCUUGGUUAGUACUUGGAUGGGUGACCGCUUGGGAAUACCAAGUGUGAUAAGCA